rnacentral:rRNA from 1 species
ACGAACGCUGGCGGCAGGCCUAACCCAUGCAAGUCGAGCGGACAUCUUCGGAUGUUAGCGGCGGACGGGUGAGUAACGCGUGGGAACGUGCCCUUUGCUUCGGAAUAGCCUCGGGAAACUGGGAGUAAUACCGGAUGUACCCUUUGGGGGAAAGAUUUAUCGGCAAAGGAUCGGCCCGCGUUGGAUUAGGUAGUUGGUGGGGUAAUGGCCUACCAAGCCGACGAUCCAUAGCUGGUUUGAGAGGAUGAUCAGCCACACUGGGACUGAGACACGGCCCAGACUCCUACGGGAGGCAGCAGUGGGGAAUCUUAGACAAUGGGGGAAACCCUGAUCUAGCCAUGCCGCGUGAGCGAUGAAGGCCUUAGGGUUGUAAAGCUCUUUCACCGGGGAAGAUAAUGACGGUACCCGGAGAAGAAGCCCCGGCUAACUCCGUG